rnacentral:lncRNA from 1 species
UUUAUCAUUGGGUCAAUAAUGCUAAUCCCUCUUUUUGUGCUACUUCUACUCCUAGGGCGGGAAGAAGAUAAGAAAACGCGAAGCGUUCUAUUGGUUUCCCAACCUGUUGCUUCUAAAGGCUGCCCUCUCUCGGCUAGAUGUUGGUCCAGCCUACUACGAGGAUCCCUUAUCCAGCAACCCAACCUAUAAAAAGGGCAUCAAAACCCCUUGUAUAGGUUGGAGCUAUGAAGGUUACCUUAUUAUUAUGAAAAAGGGAAAGGGCUUUUUCAGCUGGUGCG